UGGCCGUGUUGUCAGGUGUUUUGCCUUGGCUAGGAGAGAAGUAACUAAGACACUCAGCUUGUAUACAAACACGGGGCUCAACUAUGCCAUCUUCUAGCUCUAGGACAACAAGUCCACAACACAAUUCACCUCAAUUAUAAUGUUUACUUUUACCUGUGUUAGCAAGGUGCACUUUUUUUUAAGGACAGAGUCUCAUCAUGUCUGUCUUAGACCUGUCACAGUCCAGGACAAGCUUCCAUCUGCUGCAGCUCUCAAGGUACAAGAAAUGACAGGGGUGUGCCACUAUGACCGUCUAUACUUCCUACAUUUAAAAACUGGUUUUUGGAAGCUGAGUAAAGUGCUAUCUCAUAUAAACAUACGUAUUUCUCAUGAGUUCCUACUGUGGCUGCUGUAGUGCAAGCUAUAAGAAUCUACAAGCAGCAGCAAAGUGGGACUGAUUGCAGGCAGCUUCACACAGACAAACUACAUCUUGUUAAAAACUGAGAUGAAGCAAAAACAUGAAAUCAUCUGACACUUCAACUGUCAAAAUUACAUUGGAACUUAGGAGAUGUCAAUAUUUAAUGAAUAUUGUGUAGUGUCUCAAAGAUAACUAAUUCUAUUACCAGGAACAGACUGAAUGCCUGUGGCCCUGCCCUUAAGGCCUGUCUUACGCCUGUAAUGGCUCAAAAACAAACAAACAAACAAAACCAUGAGUCUCUGGGUAAGAAGACAACAAGGUCUAGUCUUAGGCCUAACUCAGCGACAACUGACGGAUGAGAACUGGGAAACAUCACAACAAAUGCUUCCCCAAUUCACUGCACAACUUUUGAAUCAAUCAGUGAAAACUUCAACUCAUGGCCUCAGAAGUGACCAGUGAAAACAACAUCUGAAGCAGGAACUAUUCUACCAGUUAGCCGUGAGGUUAUUAAGCUACAAGCCAGAGGGGUUAGCACUGGAGCACAGCCUGUGGCCGCCACACUGUCAAGUGACCCACAGGGACCAAUGACACACUCUAGGCAGAGUCUCCACUUCCCUGGCUACUUGUGAAAGUGAGCAGAGAGCUCCUCGCUGCCAGCACCAGGAAGAGAAGCUGUAAAGAGGAACCUCCUCCUGCCUUCAACCCCAAAGCAGGCCCUGUACCCUCAGAAGAACACGGGCUUUCUUGAUAAACUCACCUCAAAGAGUAUUUGGAGUGUUUGAUGUAGAAAGGCUCUCUGGGGCUCAAAAACUUCAGCUGGAAGUGAACAGGACUUCUCGGGGCUUAUGACCCAACUCAACAGUGUGAAGACAGGACUGUCAGCCCCCGCCUCCCUCAUCUGAAAACUGUGGAGGCAAGACCAAAGCAACCUACCACCACCAUCUUUAGCAUUGUUUAGCAUCAGAGUUCAAAGAAUAUGAGAUGAACAGAGAAUCGGACAGCAGAAAGAUGACGCACUUUCAGGGCUGGAGGCUGUGUCCAAAGGCGGCCCUCAGUCACAACCGGCUGGAUGGAACCCAGCAACCAACAACUGAGCUGCCACCUUCCAACUGUCAGGUGCUGGCUUCCCUGCAGCCGCUAAGGCAGCAAGGGAAAUGAAGCUCACACACACAAAUCCCAGCUGCCACUGAACCCAUGCAAGAAUCCCCCAAAGCAGCAAGCUAUGCCUGGCAGCCUGAUGAGGUGGGGAAGAUCCCAGGGACACUGCAGUGGUGGCUAGGAAUAAGGCAAACCCUACCAAACAAAAACUGAUAAUGCAGCUGGAGUGGAGCGCAGGCGCAUCGAGGAGGACCACCACCACCACCACCACAGCAACAAAAUGGCUCCUGGUGGAGAACGCAGGAGCUGUCCCUCUCUGCAAAGGUCAUUAGCCGCCUACAGCUGAGGAAAACAAGGGGUGCCUCCUUUGACAGCUAAGUAUGUGCCUCCCUACCACCUCAGUGGCAGGGAACAGAGCCUACUGAUCUGACUGAGUAUACCCUUGAGUUUUGGUAAGCUUUCUCUUUCUCCUUCUGGGUUUGAUGGGAGGGAGAGCUCAGGAGAGUCAGAUAUAUGGGUCAGAUUGCCUGAGGAGGAAGAGAAGGAAGACCUCAGAGCCUGGCUCCCAGCCAGGAUCCACGCAGCCUGCUCUGCAGCCAGGAAAGAAGACUGCCGUCAAGACCAACCCAUCGGUGGCUUGCUGCAAUGGCAGUUUCUGCCUCAAGUAAGGGACUCACAGGAACUCCUAAUGCUCUGCCCUCCAAGAUUCAACUUCCAACUGCAGGUGGGGGGACUUGUUCUUGCCUUAGCCUCCAAGACUCAAACAGGAAUCCAUUUCUGCAGCUGUGACCUGCUUUCUGCAGAUUCGCUCUGCAUGGAACUAUUGUUGGUUGGCAUCCCGAGACCCUGUGAAGGCUUCAAGCUGUAUCACUUGGUACGGUCUCUGGGCUGGUACCUUAUCUAAUGCACAGGGCUGCAGUCCACGUUCCCACUGAAGUUGUUGCUCCCAUGUGGCAAAUAAAGCUCCCUCUGAGACCCUGA